CAUAACUAGUUUCCCCUCAAAAUAUUCUGAAACUCUGAAUCAUUUCCUGGGGGCGGCACUUUUCACUACGGCGUUACCCACGCAGGGAGCCGGAGGAGCCCCCGCCGGAGGAUGCCGCGGGCGGUGGGCUAAGCGCCCCCGCAUCCACAGGCUUGAUGCUGCCGCUCAAGGUAAGAUGGCUCCACCACGGCUGUAUACAAGUGUGGCAGAAAAUCUGGUCCCAGCGACUCAAAUACCCUGCGUGGUUUGAUGAAGGCAGCCCUUGGGGCCCACUGAAAUGUUCACACCAGCUACCAGGAGAGGCCCUGCAAAACUCUGCCCUGACACAGUGGGCACGGGGACCCCACGGGACAGGUUAUGGCCAGCCUGUGCUGAAAUUCAAGGACUUGGGACAGAAAGGAUAGCUCCUCGUUCCCCUCCCUUCACCUCCUCAUGUCCUGCUUCCAUAAAUUGACCAACGCCCCGGUCACAGCUGGGUUGUGCUGUCCUCCAGAGCAGGGGAGUGCUAUGGUUCUUGUUAGAGCGCUCCGCGUAUGUAAAGAGAUGUAAAUGCAGCUCAGGUCAUGAAGUCAGCCAGGGCAAGAAGGAUACA
rnacentral:lncRNA from 1 species